rnacentral:rRNA from 1 species
UACGAAGGGGGCUAGCGUUGCUCGGAAUCACUGGGCGUAAAGCGCACGUAGGCGGCUUUUUAAGUCAGGGGUGAAAUCCUGGAGCUCAACUCCAGAACUGCCUUUGAUACUGGGAAGCUUGAGUCCGGAAGAGGUGAGUGGAACUCCGAGUGUAGAGGUGAAAUUCGUAGAUAUUCGGAAGAACACCGGUGGCGAAGGCGGGUCUCUGGGCCGAUACUGACGCUGAGGAGCGAAAGCGUGGGGAGCGAACAGG